rnacentral:rRNA from 1 species
GACGAACGCUGGCGGCGUGCUUAACACAUGCAAGUCGAACGGAAAGGCCCUGCUUUUGUGGGGUGCUCGAGUGGCGAACGGGUGAGUAACACGUGAGUAACCUGCCCUUGACUUUGGGAUAACUUCAGGAAACUGGGGCUAAUACCGGAUAGGAGCUCCUGCUGCAUGGUGGGGGUUGGAAAGUCUCGGCUGUUGGGGAUGGACUCGCGGCUUAUCAGCUUGUUGGUGGGGGAGUGGCUUACCCAGGCUUUGACGGGUAGCCGGCCUGAGAGGGUGGCCGGCGACAUUGGUACUGAGAUACGGCCCAGACGCCUACGGGAGGCAGCAGUGGGGAAUAUUGCACAAUGGGCGGAAGCCUGAUGAAGAAACGCCGCGUGCGGGAUGACGGCCUUCGGGUUGUAAACCGCUUUCGCCUGUGACGAAGCGUGAGUGACGGUAAUGGGUAAAGAAGCACCGGCUAACUACGUG